UCUUGGUCCCUAACCAUGGAAAAUUCCCACGAACUAUAAACCUGGAGCUAUGCUGUAGUCGGUAGGCCUAAGGGGUAGCUCCAUUCGAUAGGGGAGGUAGCUAUCGUUCCUAUGAAAUAGCUCAUACGGUCCCCCUACCGCCCCUACCAUCAAAAGCUGAUGCUAUAAUUAAACAGUAUCGCAUUAUAGCAAGAUUGCAGCAUCCCGUCCAAACGCGGUUAUUUUCUUUCUAUAAAAACACCAUGACUCCACAUCGCACCGCACGUAGCUUCAACGGCAGCUUCAACCACCUUAAAAUCCUUAACGGCCUCGACCAAAUGGAGAAUUUACAGUUAGGUAUGAAUAACAAUGCUGUCAUCCAAAAAAAAAAUAGGGGCGUUGCCGUCGUCGGUCCUCUUCGACGCAAAUUUUAUGUAAGUAGAGUAAGCGCUUUAAUUGUAAUAAUAAACUUCAAAUCACUAUUUCCGCUGUAAAUAAAAACACCCUACAUUUUGUUUGUUGUUUUUUCCCUGCCCACUCCUGUUCUGGUUAUAGGGAACCUACCUCCGAUAUGGAAUUAUAGGUAAGAAUGAGGGUCCUCGCACCUGUCUCCUGAAAUUACAAUUUCCUACCCUAGUCGCAUCAAUCUAAUAGAGGGAGUCGGAUGAAAAUAUACCUCUAUAUGCAUUACGACGCCAAUAGAUGGCGCCUCCGUAUCAAAUCGCUAUUUCAGCUCUAAAUAAAAACGCUCUACAUUUUGUUUUUGUUGUUUUAUUUCCCUCCCCGCCCCUGUUCUGGUUGUAGGUUAGAAUGGGGCCCCCUUGUGUAUGUCUCUCAAAUGGGGGAGCUACCUCCGAGAUGGAAUGAUAGGUUAGAAUUCUCCUCCCUUGCAUCUCUCUCCUGAACCACUGGAUAGUUCACAUGUUUGCUAUCUAAAUGUACAUUAUAAACGGCCGACUUUAUUCGUAACUUUCUAACGCAAGAAGUCAAAAUUGCAGUUUCCUAUACGUUAGAUGCGUAUCAUUUUGCCGCCACCAAAUAGCCCCUAGCCCCUAUCGGGUUUUUUCCCUGCCCACUCCUGUUCUAGUUAUAGGGAACCUACCUCCGAGAUGGAAUUAUAGGUUAGAAUGAGGGUCCUCGCACCUGUCUCCUGAAAUUACAAUUUCCUACCCUAUACCUAUAUGUCACAUCAAUCUAAUAGAGGGAGUCGAUUGAAAAUAUACCUCUAUAUGCAUUACGACGCCAAUAGAUGGCACCUCCGUACCAUUUAAUAUAUCUAUGAUUUAAUAAUAUUUAGAGGUUCGUUAUAAAUACAACUAUCGAAGCAUUAUAUCAUACAAGUCUAGUUAGCCUAGUGGUUAUGCUAUAGGACUUGUAAUCCGAUGGUUGGCGGUUCGAAUCCGUUCCAUUUAAAAA